CAGGCCCAAUGACUGUCUAUCUAUCUAAUCUAUCUAUCUAUCUAUCUAGCUAUCCUGAUAGACCCCCCCUCUAUCUAUCCCCAUACACCCCCUCUACCGAUUGACACCAGCAGGGAUCUGGCUAUAUUUUACAUAUCCUUCUGGGUAAUCCCAGAGCAGAGCAAGCGAGUGGAAGACACUAGUCCAGUCCCAGCUCUGAUGGGAAGCCAGGCCCUGCUGCUCCAUGGGAUGGUGCAUGAUGCCCCCUAGUGGUCACUGAUGGAAUAAUCUGGGCCAUGGGGAGGGCUCUUUCCUACCUCCUCAUUCAGAGAUUGAUGGGCUCAGAAACAGGCAAGCCUGUGUCCCUUUUACACCCCUCUCUCUAAUGAGGCUGUAGAUCAUCUCAUUGUCUGUCCGAAUAGCCAAUCAUGUCUGAAUCCUGGUGCUGGCAGUUUCCAAUGACAGGGAGUGCUGCAGGUUAACGCCAUCUCAACAGAAAAAACUUAUCAUUUAUCCUCUUUAAAUCUAAGGUUUUAAAGGGGCAGCUCCACAGGGUUAAGGGGUCAUCCACAUUAUCCAUGGUGGGUGGGUCUCUGUUGAUCCUAGAGGGCUCUCUCGCUUUCCCCCCACCCUCUCGGUGGGAUGGUUAACUGUAGCACCGAUGUAACCCAGAUCCAUACCAGUGUGUGUCUGUCACCCCCUCUAGUGGCUGGAUCCUGUAAAGUGGUUUAGGGAGCUGUGAUGCCACACACAGCUAUAGAUACGUCUCCUUUAAUUCCAAUGGUGCGUUAAACACUUGUGUGUUUCCAAGGUUCAGUCCUGGUGUCCGGUAUCUUUCCAACAACUGCUCUGUCCAGGAAGCAGAGCUGCCCUGGCAUCCCCAGGCGAGGUGUGUGUGUGUGUGUGGGGGGACUGCUUUAACCCUUUAGGGUCUCCAGCCCUGGUUGGUGGGUCCUGCCACAAAAAAAUAUUUAUGAUUAAAAAAAAUCAGUUUUUUCAGCUGAACAUUUUUCAGUCUUAUGACAAAAAAUUUGGAAUAUUUUAAGAAAUCCCCCCUUCCCCCCCAGUAAACAAACCCCAUUUU
rnacentral:lncRNA from 1 species